AUGUAACCGGACUGGCACGUUCGCCGUAAAACGCAACGGGUUGGAAAGGGAGAUAUUAUACACCCUAUGUUUAUUUACUUUUGUUGCUUUGGCGGGCCGCCUUAGGCGUCGGCCCCGGCUGAUUGCGCCCGCCAGAGGACCCAAACUCUUUUAUUAGUGAUGUCUGAGUACUAUAUAAUAGUUA
rnacentral:misc_RNA from 1 species